GGUACUGUGGCCGAGUGGUUAUGGCGUCACGUUUAGGUUUCUAUAUUGAACCAAUCCGUGAUGGGAAACCUCGCGAGUUCGAAUCUCGUCAGUGCCA